GGAGGCGUGGUAGUGGCAGUGGUGUUCGCGUUUCCCUUGGGAAACAGAGUAUCACAGCCUACUUUGACAAGAAGUUCCUAAUUUGCAGAAGUGGGCAUUGAGAAUUGUUUCACAGUGUGUCUCUUCAAGUGGCUGUGAGAGGAAUUGGACUGCUUUUGCCUUGGUCCACACGAAGCAAAGAAAUCGCCUUCUGUACUGCAAGCUUCACAAAAGUGUUUCUGUACGCUACAACCUGAAGUUACGUGCUGAAGAAGAUGAAGAUAUUGUGAAGCUGAGUUAUAGGGAGAAGGAAAUUGAUCCAUGUGCAGUGAUGAUGGAUACAGUUAUGCAUGACGAAUCAAACCCAAUGAUGGAGUGGCUGAACGAGGAUGAAGAGCAUAUAGUCCUUGAUGGAUCUGAUGCUGCUACUGCUGUGUUGGAGGAAAUACGUCGCCUUAACUCAAGGAGGAAAGCCUCUCAUCUUGGAAGGAAGGAAAUUAGCAGGAAAGGAAAGAGGGUACGUGAAGAUGAGGAGGAUGAGUUCAUUAGCAGUGAGGAUGAUGAUGAAGCGAAUGGAUCCAUGGACAUUGAUGAUGGUGAUGAUGGCCAAGAAGAGGAUGAUGAAUCUGAUGGAGAAGGUUUGCCAAGACAAGCUUAAAAAGAUGCACGAAGCCAAGUGAAUGAUAUUGAGGUAACAAGGGAUGAAAAUAUGGUGAAUCGUAGAUCUGGACGGCAAGCCAAGAAGGUCAAGGACGUCAACUCCCUUUACUAUUAGACUGAAGACUGGAAGAAAAUUGAAGUCUACCUGAUGUGUUUUGGAGGCGCUGGUUUGAACUUCGAUUACUUCUGCUCUAUGACUUGUGGAUUGUGAAUCUGGACUAUUGUGUGUGUAUUUUGGACUCGUAGUAGGGAUUGGUGUGUGGGUAUUUUGGACUGUAAUUUGAAGUUCUAAUAUGCACUGUUAUGUGUGUACCUUGGGCUAAUAUGGACUGUUAACUAGCCUAUUGAGUAGAUCUGGACUACUGGAUGUUAUAUCAUGCUCUGAACCGAUGUUUACCAUUGAGAUGGAGUUCUAAUCUGGUAUAACAUGUAAAU